UUUGAACUCAAACCCAUCCAUCCUUUGUACUGUACAAUACUGAAGAAGUAAUGUAGAUGAAUAUACAUGCAGUUUUAUUAAGUGAAUGCCAUGCAAACAACUAACUUGCUCUUGUCCAUGUAGAUGGAGUAGGAGGAUGAGCAGCAGCAACAAAUGAACCUGAUGGUGAAGAAGCACCUGAUGACCAGAACUCGUUCAAGUGCUCUUUAGUCCUUCCAAAGCAAGGAGCUUUGGGCCUAAUUUUUUUUGGAGUGUGAAGCCAUGAAGCCAAGUGCGAAUCAGUGAAGCCCUACUUAGCAAAGAGUUUUUUUGGUUCUAUAGUAGACUGUAAAUUGUAAUAUUGUAUCAGAUUGUAAAAGACUAAUGUAGUGUUAUUUGAUGAAUUAUAUUUGUCCCGUCCUAUUUGAAAUAGUGAUUAUGUAUGUUAAAAAGAUGUGAAAUGGAAACAUGACCAGCGGGACCAAUUUAUGCCCCAC